rnacentral:rRNA from 1 species
UACGGAGGGUGCGAACGUUAAUCGGAAUCACUGGGCGUAAAGCGCGCGUAGGCGGUUUGUUAAGUGGGAUGUGAAAUCCCCGGGCUUAACCUGGGAAUUGCAUUUCAAACUGGCCGACUAGAGUACGGUAGAGGGAGGUAGAAUUUCCUGUGUAGCGGUGAAAUGCGUAGAUAUAGGAAGGAAUACCAGUGGCGAAGGCGGCCUCCUGGAUCGAUACUGACGCUGAGACGCGAAAGCGUGGGGAGCGAACAGG